UUAAGUCAAUGUGAAAGCCCGGGGCUCAACCUCGGAAUAGCAUUUGAAACUGGUCAUCUAGAGUACUGUAGAGGGGGGUAGAAUUUCAGGUGUAGCGGUGAAAUGCGUAGAGAUCUGAAGGAAUACCGGUGGCGAAGGCGGCCCCCUGGACAGAUACUGACACUCAGAUGCGAAAGCGUGGGGAGCAAACAGGAUUAGAUACCCUGGUAGUCCACGCCGUAAACGAUGUCUACUUGGAGGUUGUGGCCUUGAGCCGUGGCUUUCGGAGCUAACGCGUUAAGUAGACCGCCUGGGGAGUACGGUCGCAAGAUUAAAACUCAAAUGAAUUGACGGGGGCCCGCACAAGCGGUGGAGCAUGUGGUUUAAUU
rnacentral:rRNA from 1 species